UACGUAGGGUGCAAGCGUUGUCCGGAAUUAUUGGGCGUAAAGAGCUCGUAGGCGGCUUGUCGCGUCGUCCGUGAAAACUUGGGGCUCAACCCCAAGCUUGCGGUCGAUACGGGCAGGCUCGAGUUCGGUAGGGGAGACUGGAAUUCCUGGUGUAGCGGUGAAAUGCGCAGAUAUCAGGAGGAACACCGGUGGCGAAGGCGGGUCUCUGGGCCGAUACUGACGCUGAGGAGCGAAAGCAUGGGGAGCAAACAGG
rnacentral:rRNA from 1 species